CAGAAGAUCAAACGCAUUCUAUCCAGGUACUGCUACUUAGCAAACAAAAUUCACUACAAUUUGAGCAAGAACAUAUCAAGUUCUCCACAAACCCGAGAGCACCCCAAACAAUAAUAAUAAAAAAAAAACUUUACAUUAAAACUUGCAAUAACACAUCUGAUGACCACAUGCCCCAUUUGCACAUCACCUCAAACACAUGUUAAACACCGCAGCAGAUGGUGGAACAGAGGGAGAGGGGUGUUUCCAAUGCUUUAAGCGCUUAUGUUUGACAGCUUGUCCUGUAAGUCCAUCCCCACUCAAGAACUCUAUGCUUUUCUUCUUCUGUCAACUGAAGGAAAAUAAUUUGUCCCAGUCUGUGUCACUCAACAGAAGAAUCGAUCAAACGACCCAAUCAGUUUAUUCCAACCAAUUAAUCCCCUUUUGCUCCAAGCAUUAGCUUAAAGGAGCCAGCUAUAAUCAUUGGUUCCACCUCGUAAUUAGUUGUAAUUCUAGUGCUGACAUGGCUUAAGAGCCUCAUUUAGAGGGCUUGUCACUCUGGGGGUGGGAAGGAAAUAUGGAGAACAGGAAAGUCUACCCUCUCCUUAAACAUGGCAGAUGUGUUCAUCAGUCGAUUCCAUCUCUCUUCCAUAUUGAGCAGCGCACAACUGAUAGGAGGGCUGGGAAAAGAAGGAUUGGCCAGAGAUUAAUGUGUUAAUGAAGAGAUCCAUAUUAUAUUCCUGAGGAUCCUUUGCUGAGCAAGUGAUAUAAUGCUACAUUUCUCCAAAUCUGUCCUGAUGAAGAAACUCAUAUCUUGGAUGGACAACCCAUUAAUCAAGCACCAAGGAUGGAUGAAAAGGCAAAUAAUCAGGUUUCAAAACAAUUGCUCUUAAUUGGACUCUGGGUUCAUCCCUCCCACAUCCAUUUACGCUUUCCCCAAUGCAGGUGGAUCCUCUAAUUAGAAUAACAUUUUAGUUUGAGCUGCUUGUGCUCCAUAUUUAUUGUCCCACCAACAUUCAACUUAAUUUCCAAUCCUUUGCCUCUUGUGUCCAAAUCAAAGAGCUGGACUGUCAUAAAUGGACCGCUAUAUUUAUAGUCUGUGGGGUCAUAUUCUCUAAGACCUGAACCCUUGACCCAUGCGAGGGGAUUCAUGUAGCACUGAAAAAGCCUGGUUGAGUUUUAAUGAGGUAUAAUGCUCUUGGUGGUAGAAACUGAUGAAUACAUAUAAAGGAACAGCCGACAUGAGAAGCAGUUUAGGAAAACCAACACACAGAGAAGGAAGGUCCUCUAAUAGGGGACAAAUAAUGAGGAUUAGCAUAACAAGCAGGGUUGGGUUUUGAAGGCCCAUGAUGCUUUGGAGGGAUUCUUCUCUUAUACCGUUAAGGAAAGCAAGACUAUGAAAGGUCUGAUUCACAGUCACACGCUUUACAUUAAAGAAAAUAAUGCUGGACUUCACAUUUGAAAUGAUCACUGUACAAUGAUGCAACAGUCUAAUAAAAGGUUGUGGUUUGGCCCUGGAAAAUGUUUUAUGAUCAGAUCAAAAUGGGGACAUUUAAUAGACUUUUACUGUUUUUAUCUACGUCUAGUUACUGUAACCCUAACUUAGAACCUACCUCUAUUUUUAUGUGAAAUUUUUUUUUGUAUUUUUUCUUACAAAUAAAAAA